UACAGAGGUCCCAAGCGUUGUUCGGAUUCACUGGGCGUAAAGGGUGCGUAGGCGGUCGGGUAAGUCUGAUGUGAAAUCUCACAGCUUAACUGUGAAACUGCAUUGGAUACUAUCCGGCUAGAGGAACGGAGGGGAGACUGGAAUACUUGGUGUAGCAGUGAAAUGCGUAGAUAUCAAGUGGAACACCAGUGGCGAAGGCGAGUCUCUGGACAUUUCCUGACGCUGAGGCACGAAAGCCAGGGGAGCAAACGGG
rnacentral:rRNA from 1 species